rnacentral:rRNA from 1 species
GACGAACGCUGGUGGCGUGCUUAACACAUGCAAGUCGAACGGAAAGGCCCUGCUUUUGUGGGGUGCUCGAGUGGCGAACGGGUGAGUAACACGUGAGUAACCUGCCCUUGACUUUGGGAUAACUUCAGGAAACUGGGGCUAAUACCGGAUAGGAGCUCCUGCUGCAUGGUGGGGGUUGGAAAGUUUCGGCGGUUGGGGAUGGACUCGCGGCUUAUCAGCUUGUUGGUGGGGUAGUGGCUUACCAAGGCUUUGACGGGUAGCCGGCCUGAGAGGGUGACCGGCCACAUUGGGACUGAGAUACGGCCCAGACUCCUACGGGAGGCAGCAGUGGGGAAUAUUGCACAAUGGGCGGAAGCCUGAUGCAGCAACGCCGCGUGCGGGAUGACGGCCUUCGGGUUGUAAACCGCUUUCGCCUGUGACGAAGCGUGAGUGACGGUAAUGGGUAAAGAAGCACCGGCUAACUACGUGCCAGCAGCCGCGGUGAUACGUAGGGUGCGAGCGUUGUCCGGAUUUAUUGGGCGUAGAGGGCUCGUAGGUGGUUGAUCGCGUCGGAAGUGUAAUCUUGGGGCUUAACCCUGAGCGUGCUUUCGAUACGGGUUGACUUGAGGAAGGUAGGGGAGAAUGGAAUUCCUGGUGGAGCGGUGGAAUGCGCAGAUAUCAGGAGGAACACCAGUGGCGAAGGCGGUUCUCUGGGCCUUUCCUGACGCUGAGGAGCGAAAGCGUGGGGAGCGAACAGGCUUAGAUACCCUGGUAGUCCACGCUGUAAACGGUGGGUACUAGGUGUGGGGUCCAUUCCACGGGUUCCGUGCCGUAGCUAACGCUUUAAGUACCCCGCCUGGGGAGUACGGCCGCAAGGCUAAAACUCAAAGGAAUUGACGGGGCCCCGCACAAGCGGCGGAGCAUGCGGAUUAAUUCGAUGCAACGCGUAGAACCUUACCUGGGUUUGACAUGGAUCGGGAGUGCUCAGAGAUGGGUGUGCCUCUUUUGGGGUCGGUUCACAGGUGGUGCAUGCCUGUCGUCAGCUCGUGUCGUGAGAUGUUGGGUUAAGUCCCGCAACGAGCGCAACCCUUGUUCACUGUUGCCAGCACGUUAUGGUGGGGACUCAGUGGAGACCGCCGGGGUCAACUCGGAGGAAGGUGGGGAUGACGUCAAGUCAUCAUGCCCCUUAUGUCCAGGGCUUCACGCAUGCUACAAUGGCUGGUACAGAGAGUGGCGAGCCUGUGAGGGUGAGCGAAUCUCGGAAAGCCGGUCUCAGUUCGGAUUGGGGUCUGCAACUCGACCUCAUGAAGUCGGAGUCGCUAGUAAUCGCAGAUCAGCAACGCUGCGGUGAAUACGUUCCCGGGGCU